CUCUGGUGCCGAAAACAGAAAGAAGAAAAUGACAGAGGAGAAAAACGAGCAAGAUACAGAGACACUGUUGAAGUACUUUGGAGCACAUCUCUACCACUACUUAACUCUACCUCAUCAAGUGUCUGCCUCCAUGGCUGAUGACACAGAAGGUUCGUCCACUGCAGAGCUGCAGAUACCUGAAAGCCAGGAA